GGCGUGUUGGCGGAGUGGUCUAACGCGCUAGACUUGAACCAUCUGUUAAGUUUGUUAUUAACUUCGCAGUGGUGAGAUAUCUAGUUCCUUCGGGAGCGUCUGUUCGAAUCAGGCACACGUCG